GACUCUCGGCAACGGAUAUCUCGGCUCUCGCAUCGAUGAAGAACGUAGCGAAAUGCGAUACUUGGUGUGAAUUGCAGGAUCCCGUGAACCAUCGAGUCUUUGAACGCAAGUUGCGCCCGAAGCCUUCGGGCCGAGGGCACGCCUGCCUGGGUGUCACGCA
rnacentral:rRNA from 1 species